rnacentral:rRNA from 1 species
GAUGAACGCUGGCGGCGUGCUUAACACAUGCAAGUCGAGCGAAAAGACAAGGAGUUUGUUGCUUUGACGAUAGCGGAAGACGGGAGAGAAACAUGUGGAAAAUCCACUUAAAAGACUGGGAAAACUUCGGAAAAGCGGAGCAAAUAGGGGAGAACAUAUUGAACCGCAUGGUGGAAUAGAGAAAGGCGGCUGUGGUGUCAGGUAUAGAUGGAUCAGCGCCGUAUUAGCUAGUUGGUAAGGUAACGGCUUAACAAGGAAACGAUACGUAGCCGACUUGACAGGGUGUUCGGCCACACUGGAGCUGAGACACGAUCCUGACUCCUACGGGAGGCAGCAGUACGUAAUCUUCCGCAAUGGGCGAAAGCCUGACGGAGCGGCGCCGCGUGAGUGAUGAAGGUCUUCGGAUCGUAAAACUCUGUUAUCGGUGAAGAACAAAUUUGUAAGUGACUGUGCACAUCGUGACGGUACCUGGUCAGGAAGCCACGGCUAACUACGUG